AAUCAACUGUAUCAUUGGCCAGCUUAUGCCCAUCACAGCUAUAUGCAGAGUCAUUCAAGCUUGGAUCUUCACUAAAAUCUGGUAGAACAAUGAUACUUGAGGAUGAAAGUUGCACAAAAAAAAUCCAUAAAGGAUGGUAAAUAAAAACUCAAAACCAAACAUCUCGUAUAACAUAUAUAGCUUCUUAAAAAUUAAAAGUAAAUUCAUAAAGAAACUUACACUGCUAUCAAAAUCAGUAAAAAACUUAUCAAAGAACAUAUCAACCAAAGAUACAUCAUUACAAAUACCCAGAACUUUGAAGUAGCUAGAAUCUCCUUUGGCUUCGACCUUAGAUUUU
rnacentral:lncRNA from 1 species